UACGUAGGGUGCAAGCGUUGUCCGGAAUUAUUGGGCGUAAAGAGCUCGUAGGCGGUCUGUCGCGUCGGCUGUGAAAACUCGGGGCUCAACCCCGAGCCUGCAGUCGAUACGGGCAGACUAGAGUGCUGUAGGGGAGACUGGAAUUCCUGGUGUAGCGGUGAAAUGCGCAGAUAUCAGGAGGAACACCGGUGGCGAAGGCGGAUCUCUGGGCCGAUACUGACGCUGAGACGCGAAAGCGUGGGGAGCAAACAGG
rnacentral:rRNA from 1 species